GAUGAAGAACGUAGCGAAAUGCGAUAAGUAAUGUGAAUUGCAGAAUUCAGUGAAUCAUCGAAUCUUUGAACGCACAUUGCGCCCGCCAGUAUUCUGGCGGGCAUGCCUGUCUGAGCGUCAUUUUAACCCUCAUGCCCCUAGGGCGUGGUGUUGGGGAUCGGCCAAAGCCCGCGAGGGACGGCCGGCCCCUAAAUCUAGUGGCGGACCCGUCGUGGCCUCCUCUGCGAAGUAGUGAUAUUCCGCAUCGGAGAGCGAUGAGCCCCUGCCGUUAAACCCCCAACUUUCCAAGGUUGACCUCAGAUCAGGUAGGAAUACCCGCUGAACUUAAGCAUAUCAAUAAGCGGAGGA
rnacentral:misc_RNA from 1 species